GAUGAACGCUGGCGGUAUGCUUAACACAUGCAAGUCGGACGGACUCUUCGGAGUUAGUGGCGGACGGGUGAGUAACGCGUGAGAAUCUGGCUUUGGGUUCGGGACAACCACUGGAAACGGUGGCUAAUACCGGAUGUGCCGAGAGGUAAAAGAGAAAUUGCCUGAAGAUGAGCUCGCGUCUGAUUAGCUAGUUGGUGAGGUAAAGGCUCACCAAGGCAGCGAUCAGUAGCUGGUCUGAGAGGAUGACCAGCCACACUGGGACUGAGACACGGCCCAGACUCCUACGGGAGGCAGCAGUGGGGAAUUUUCCGCAAUGGGCGAAAGCCUGACGGAGCAAUACCGCGUGAGGGAAGAAGGCUCUUGGGUUGUAAACCUCUUUUCUUAGGGAAGAACAAAAUGACGGUACCUAAGGAAUCAGCAUCGGCUAACUCCGUG
rnacentral:rRNA from 1 species